CUAACUCUCUCCCUCAAUGGCU
rnacentral:miRNA from 1 species